AGUGAACGCUGGCGGCAGGCCUAACACAUGCAAGUCGAACGGCAGCACAGGAGAGCUUGCUCUCUGGGUGGCGAGUGGCGGACGGGUGAGGAAUACAUCGGAAUCUACCUUUUCGUGGGGGAUAACGUAGGGAAACUUACGCUAAUACCGCAUACGACCUUAGGGUGAAAGCGGAGGACCUUUGGGCUUCGCGCGGAUAGAUGAGCCGAUGUCGGAUUAGCUAGUUGGCGGGGUAAAGGCCCACCAAGGCGACGAUCCGUAGCUGGUCUGAGAGGAUGAUCAGCCACACUGGAACUGAGACACGGUCCAGACUCCUACGGGAGGCAGCAGUGGGGAAUAUUGGACAAUGGGCGCAAGCCUGAUCCAGCCAUGCCGCGUGGGUGAAGAAGGCCUUCGGGUUGUAAAGCCCUUUUGUUGGGAAAGAAAAGCAGUCGGUUAAUACCCGAUUGUUCUGACGGUACCCAAAGAAUAAGCACCGGCUAACUUCGUGCCAGCCGCCGCAGUAAAAC
rnacentral:rRNA from 1 species